rnacentral:rRNA from 1 species
CCUACGGGUGGCAGCAGUGAGGAAUAUUGGUCAAUGGGCGGAAGCCUGAACCAGCCAAGUCGCGUGAGGGAGUAAGGCCCUACGGGUCGUAAACCUCUUUUGCCGGGGAGCAGUGCCCAGCUCGUGAGCUGGGAGGGAGCGUACCCGGAGAAAACGCAUCGGCUAACUCCGUGCCAGCAGCCGCGGUAAUACGGAGGAUGCGAGCGUUAUCCGGAUUUAUUGGGUUUAGAGGGUGCGUAGGCGGGCUUUCCGGCCGGCGGUAAAAUUGCGGGGCUCAACCCCGCCGAGCCGUCGGAACCGGGGGAGUUGAGUACCGGAGAAGUACGCGGAAGGGGGGGUGGAGCGGUGAAAUGCAGAGAUAUC